rnacentral:rRNA from 1 species
CGGACGGGUGAGUAACGCGUGGAUAACCUGCCGUAUACUGGGGGAUAACACUUAGGAAUAGGUGCUAAUACCGCAUAAGCGCACAGUCUCGCAUGAGACGGUGUGAAAAACUCCGGUGGUAUACGAUGGAUCCGCGUCUGAUUAGCUUGUUGGCGGGGUAACAGCCCACCAAGGCGACGAUCAGUAGCCGGCCUGAGAGGGUGAACGGCCACAUUGGGACUGAGACACGGCCCAAACUCCUACGGGAGGCAGCAG